GACGAACGCUGGCGGCGUGCCUAAUACAUGCAAGUUGAGCGAUGAAGAUUGGUGCUUGCCCCAAUUUGAAGAGCAGCGAACGGGUGAGUAACGCGUGGGGAAUCUGCCUUUGAGCGGGGGACAACAUUUGGAAACGAAUGCUAAUACCGCAUAACAACUUUAAACAUAAGUUUUAAGUUUGAAAGAUGCAAUUGCAUCACUCAAAGAUGAUCCCGCGUUGUAUUAGCUAGUUGGUGAGGUAAAGGCUCACCAAGGCGAUGAUACAUAGCCGACCUGAGAGGGUGAUCGGCCACAUUGGGACUGAGACACGGCCCAAACUCCUACGGGAGGCAGCAGUAGGGAAUCUUCGGCAAUGGACGAAAGUCUGACCGAGCAACGCCGCGUGAGUGAAGAAGGUUUUCGGAUCGUAAAACUCUGUUGGUAGAGAAGAACGUUGGUGAGGGUGGAAAGCUCAUCAAGUGACGGUAACUACCCAGAAAGGGACGGCUAACUACGUG
rnacentral:rRNA from 1 species